GACGAACGCUGGCGGCGUGCUUUACACAUGCAAGUCGAACGGUGAAGGUGGAGCUUGCUCCGCCGGAUCAGUGGCGAACGGGUGAGUAACACGUGGGCAACCUGCCCCUAACUUUGGGAUAACUACUCGAAAGAGUAGCUAAUACCGGAUAUGAAGUCUGUAGGCAUCUAUGGAGUUGGAAAGUUUUACGGUUAGGGAUGGGCCCGCGGCCUAUCAGCUUGUUGGUGAGGUAGUGGCGCCCCACGGCGACGACGGGUAGCCGGCCUGAGAGGGCGACCGGCCACACUGGGACUGAGACACGGCCCAGACUCCUACGGGAGGCAGCAGUGGGGAAUAUUGCGCAAUGGGCGAAGGCCUGACGCAGCAACGCCGCGUGCGGGAUGAAGGCCUUCGGGUUGUAAACCGCUUUCAGCAGGGAAGAAGCGAAAGUGACGGUACCUGCAGAAGAAGCACCGGCUAACUACGUGCCAGCCGCCGCGGUAA
rnacentral:rRNA from 1 species